rnacentral:rRNA from 1 species
UGCAGAGGGUGCGAGCGUUGUCCGGAAUCACUGGGCGUAAAGGGCGCGUAGGUGGCGCUGCAAGUCGGUGGUGAAAGCUCGUCGCUUAACGACGAGUCGGCCAUCGAAACUGCGGGGCUGGAGCACUGUAGGGGCAGAUGGAAUUCCGGGUGUAGCGGUGGAAUGCGUAGAGAUCCGGAAGAACACCGGUGGCGAAGGCGGUCUGCUGGGCAGUAGCUGACACUGAGGAGCGAAAGCCAGGGGAGCAAACGGG